UUCUAUGGAGAGUUUGAUCCUGGCUCAGGACGAACGCUGGCGGCGUGCUUAACACAUGCAAGUCGAGCGAUGAAACUACUUCGGUAGUGAAUUAGCGGCGAACGGGUGAGGAACACGUGAGGAA
rnacentral:rRNA from 1 species